ensembl:miRNA gga-mir-7458-1 gga-mir-7458-1
UUGCGGAACAAGUUCUCAGGGCAGCCCUCCAUCACAAGUGGCCACUGGGAUCAUCUCAGCAGAG